GAUUUUCGCAAUGCCCGAAAGGGUGACGAAGCGACGCCGCGUGCGGGAAGAAGGCCUUCGGGUUGUAAACCGCUGUCGGGAGUUAAGAAAUGUAAGGAUGUUAAUAGCACCUUUACUUGACUAAGGCUCCGGAGGAAGCCACGGCUAACUCUGUGCCAGCAGCCGCGGUAAUACAGAGGCGGCAAGCGUUGUUCGGAAUUAUUGGGCGUAAAGAGCACGUAGGCGGCUAUGUAAGUCGGUUGUGAAAGCCUUCCGCUCAACGGGAGAACAGCAUCCGAUACUGCAUGGCUUGAGUGCGGGAGGGGAGAGUGGAACUUCUGGUGGAGCGGUGAAACGCGUAGAUAUCAGAAGGAACGCCGGCGGCGAAAGCGGCUCUCUGGCCCAUAACUGACGCUGAGUGUGCGAAAGCUAGGGGAGCAAACGGGAUUAGAUACCCAGGUAGUCCUAGCCGUAAACGAUGGGCACUAAGUAGAGGGGUUUUAAUC
rnacentral:rRNA from 1 species